rnacentral:rRNA from 1 species
AUUGAACGCUGGCGGCAUGCCUUACACAUGCAAGUCGAACGGCAGCACGGACUUCGGUCUGGUGGCGAGUGGCGAACGGGUGAGUAAUAUAUCGGAACGUACCUUUCAGUGGGGGAUAACUAUCCGAAAGGAUAGCUAAUACCGCAUAUUCUGUGAGCAGGAAAGCAGGGGAUCUUCGGACCUUGCGCUGAUUGAGCGGCCGAUAUCAGAUUAGCUAGUUGGUGGGGUAAAGGCCUACCAAGGCGACGAUCUGUAGCGGGUCUGAGAGGAUGAGCCGCCACACUGGAACUGAGACACGGUCCAGACUCCUACGGGAGGCAGCAGUGGGGAAUUUUGGACAAUGGGGGCAACCCUGAUUCAGCCAUGCCGCGUGAGUGAAGAAGGCCUUCGGGUUGUAAAGCUCUUUCGUCCGGGAAGAAAUCGCAUUGGCUAAUACCUGAUGUGGAUGACGGUACCGGAAUAAGAAGCACCGGCUAACUACGUGCCAGCAGCCGCCGUAACAC